rnacentral:rRNA from 1 species
GAGUAACACGUGAGUCACCUGCCCUUAACUCUGGGAUAAGCCUGGGAAACUGAGGUCUAAUACCGGAUAUGACUCCUCAUCGCAGGGUGGGGGGUGGAAAGCUUUAUUGUGGUUUUGGAUGGACUCGCGGCCUAUCAGCUUGUUGGUGAGGUAAUGGCUCACCAAGGCGACGACGGGUAGCCGGCCUGAGAGGGUGACCGGCCACACUGGGACUGAGACACGGCCCACACUCCUACGGGAGGCAGCAGUGGGGAAUAUUGCACAAUGGGCGAAAGCCUGAUGCACCCACGCCGCGUGAGGGAUGACGGCCUUCGGGUUGUAAACCUCUUUCAGUAAGGAAGAAACGAAAGUGACGGUACCUGCAGAAGAAGCGCCGGCUAACUACGUGCCAGCAGCCGCGGUAAUACGUAGGGCGCAAGCGUUAUCCGGAAUUAUUGGGCGUAAAGAGCUCGUAGGCGGUUUGUCGCGUCUGCCGUGAAAGUCCGGGGCUCAACUCCGGAUCUGCGGUGGGUACGGGCAGACUAGAGUGAUGUAGGGGAGACUGGAAUUCCUGGUGUAGCGGUGAAAUGCGCAUAUUUCAGGAGGAACACCGAUGGCGAAGGCGGUCUCUGGGCUUAACUGACGCUAAGGAGCGAAGCAUGGGGAGCGAACAAGAUAAAUACCCUGGUAAUCCAUGCCGUAAACGUUGGGCACUAGGGGGGGGGACAUU